GGUGAUGUUUACAGAUCCAGAAACUUCAGCGUCUGAAUCAAGCACCAUGUUUGCCAGCAUUGCAGUCCGUCUCAUGGCCGCCUUGGCUCUGAUCGCAACAAUCGCUGCUGCGGGGCCUGAUAAUGCUAACCGCAGGCAUGCUGAUGGAUGGCUGGAUUAAGUUCAGAUGGAUGGUGAAGCCAGAGAAGUCUUCAGUAAAGCUGACCACCUCUGUUAAUUAUGAUUAACUAAAAUAAAGAAAUAAAUCAUGCAAAUCUCUUC